rnacentral:rRNA from 1 species
UACGUAGGGUGCAAGCGUUAAUCGGAAUUACUGGGCGUAAAGCGUGCGCAGGCGGUUGUGCAAGACAGAUGUGAAAUCCCCGGGCUUAACCUGGGAACUGCAUUUGUGACUGCACGGCUAGAGUACGGCAGAGGGGGAUGGAAUUCCGCGUGUAGCAGUGAAAUGCGUAGAUAUGCGGAGGAACACCGAUGGCGAAGGCAGUCCCCUGGGCCUGUACUGACGCUCAUGCACGAAAGCGUGGGGAGCAAACAGG